GAACUAAAAUUGAAUGAUAUAUAAUUUAACAAACCAAUGCUUGAAGGCACGAGCGCGCGCAUGCGCGCGCGCACACACACACACACACACACACACACACACACACACACACACACACAACAUGAAGCUGGGGCCCAGAAGAGAUGUCAGGACUCUCCUUUAUAUGCUUCUGAGUAAGGUGGAUCAGCUUGGAGUUCUGUCAGUCAUGGAGUGAAUAAAGAAAAUGUCAGCUGAAAAACAGAAACAAAAACAAAAACAAAAACUAAAGCAAAAUAAAAUAAGAGGCUGCCUGUGCUGGCUCAUGCCUGUAACUCCAGCGCUCAGGAGGUUGAGGCAGGAGUAUUAGUUGUUCUAGACUAUCCUGGGCUUCAUAGGGAGAAAUAAGCCAGGCUGAGCUACAAAGGGAGAUUCUAUCUUAAAAGAAAAGUGUGAUAAACAUACAUAGAAAAGAAGAAAAUCUUUUCAAUUGGGACAAGGCAGAUGAGUGCUCCAAUGUUGCAUGAAAGGAAAUGAGUCAGGCAUAGAAAGGGAAGUGCUGCCAGGUUUCACAUGCACAUCCUGAAAAAUUAAACUCAUUCAAAUAAAGAAGUCUCAGUGCAAAAGAGACAGUAUGAGGAGGGGGAGCUUCAUAGUGGUCCUCUGUCUCUGUGAGAAGGCAGUGCUCCAUAGUAGUCCUCUGCCUCUGUGAGAAGGGCGUGCUCCAUAGUGGCCCUCUUCCUCUAUGAGAAGACAGUGCUCCACAGUGGUCCUCUGCCUCUAUGAGAAGGGAGUGCUCCAUAGUGAUCCUCUGCCUCUGUGAGAAGGCAGUGCUCCAUAGUGGUCCUCUGUCUCUGAGUCUUACAGUCUCUUGGCCAUCUCUUCCAGAGUCCCCUGAGCUUUGAGGAAAGGGUGUGUAUGACAGGUGUUUCAUGUAGGGCUGAGCAGUUCACCAUCACUUAUUUUUCUUACUUUUGACAAGUUCUGAGUCUCUGUACUAACUGCCAUCAAGUGGAAGCUUUUCUAAUGAGGGUUGUGGCAUCCUGUGGGUAUAAAGAUGAGAUUACACAGUUAGCCAAGUAAUCGAAGUAAGUGCUCCUCUAGGGCUUAUGACUUCUCUAGCUGUGGGGUCUUAGUCAGGUGUAUAGUUCCUGGUUUGAGUUUCCUCUUAAAAGGCCAAAAUUCCAGUCAGAAUAGAUACCACAUGUUUUUCAGAACCUAAAACUGAAUUGAUGGAUUAAGCCCUUGUUGGCUUCAGAAGUGGCAUUACUGUAAGGUAGAAAAAAAAAAAAAAAAGAAAUGGUCUUUAUUGAAAUAAGUGGGUCAUUGAGGGGAUGUUCUUGAGAUAAGACUAUGGCCUGGGUCCUCCUGAUGUUCCUCUCCCUGGUCUCUCUGCCUCUUUGCAGCUGUGCUGUGAACUCCUCUGAGCCUCGCUCCCACCACAAUGGCCUGAUGCUCCUGGACAAAGAAUCCUUUCUCCCAUGAUGUUGUUUAUGUCAAAUAUUUGGCCAUAAAGAUGAUAAAAUUAACUAACACAGCUGUUCUGACUCUGGUUUUCAUAGAAAUCACCAGAUCAUUUCCUUAACUACUGUACUAAUUAAUAAACAUUCCUAGCAACCAUCAUUUGAUCAUAUCCACGAGGUAUAAAAUAGUAUCUUUUUCUGCUUUUUAUUCAUCUUUCACUUAGGAUCAGUGAUAUUGAACUUCACUGAAUACAUCUAUUGGUCAUUUGUAUAUCUCCCUUUAAAUAAUUGUACCUUGACUUUGGGGGCAUUUUGCUAAUUGGUUUUUUGCAUUUAUGCUUAGAAUUCCUGACAGCAAUGAGGUAUAGAGUUGUAUCUGAUAUUUUACUUAGAAUGCUAUUAAUUCCUACAGUUUCGGGCUCAAAUACUUGUCCUUUUCAUAGUUAGGAAACUGGGGGUUGGAGAGAUAGAACAGCAGUUAAGACAAUGUUCUUAUAGAGUACCUGAGUCUGAUGCCCAGCAUCCAUACGGUAGCUUAUAACUAUUCAUAAUUCCAGUUCCAGGGAAUCUUAGUUACUGGUCUAUUGCUGUGAUAAGACAAAGUGACCAAGGCAAUUUAUGGAAGAAAGUGUUUAUUAAGGGUUUAUAGUUUCAGAGUGUGGGUGCAUAACUACCAGGUCAGGGAGUAAGGCAACAGGCAUUCAGGCAUGGCACUGGAGCAGCAGCUGAGGGCUCCCAUCUCAAUCCAGAAGCAGGAGACAGAGGGAGCUAACCCAGAAUGGUGUAGGCUUUUGAAAUCUCAAAGCCCAAUCCCUGUGAAUAGGCAUCCACUCCAACAAGGUGACACUGCCCAAUUCUUCCCAAACAGUUCCAUCAGCUGAGGACCAAGUAUGAUCUUCUGGGGCCAGUGUCAUUCAAACCACCAUAGGAUCCAAUACUCUCCUCUAGCUUCUGAGGGCAUCAGAUAUUGUGUGUAAUAUACAUCAGACAGUGCAUGUAGACAAAACACUAAUACAC
rnacentral:lncRNA from 1 species